rnacentral:rRNA from 1 species
GGCAGCAGCUAAGAAUAUUCCGCAAUGGACGAAAGUCUGACGGAGCGACGCCGCGUGGACGAUGAAGGCCGGAAGGUUGUAAAGUCCUUUUGGAUAUGAGGAAUAAACACUGCAGGGAAUGGCAGUGCGGUGACUGUAGUAUCUGAAUAAGCAACGGCUAAUUACGUGCCAGCAGCCGCGGUAACACGUAAGUUGCGAGCGUUGUUCGGAAUUAUUGGGCGUAAAGGGCAUGUAGGCGGCAUAGCAAGCUUGGCGUGAAAUCCUCGGGCUUAACCCGAGAACUGCGCUGAGAACUGUUGAGCUUGAGUUACUGAAGGGCAUCCGGAAUUCCAGGUGUAGGGGUGAAAUCUGUAGAUAUCUGGAAGAACACCGAUGGCGAAGGCAGGGUGCCGGCAGAUAACUGACGCUGAGGUGCGAAGGUGCGGGGAGCGAACAGGAUUAGAUACCCUGGUAGUCCGCACAGUAAACGAUGUACACUAGGUGUCUGGACACGAGUCUGGGUGCCAAAGCAAACGUGAUAAGUGUACCGCCUGGGAAGUAUGCCCGCAAGGGUGAAACUCAAAGGAAUUGACGG